AGCGGGAUACAUUAAAAUACAAUGAAAAAAAGACAAUGAAUAUAAUGAAAUACAUAGAAUACAACGAGAUAUUAAAAUACAAAAAAAGGUAACAAACUCUUCAGUUGCUUAGCCCAAACUUCGUCGUCUUUUUUCAACAAUAACUCCUAUAUCGUCUUGUCGAUAGCAGAUUUUGAACCUCCAUUGUCAGCCUCAAUGUACCCAAAAAAUUUCCUUCAAAAAUUCCUGACAAUGAGUAAUGGUCAUGCUUUUUAUAAAAAUUACUCAUGUAUUUGAUGUAAUUACUCAAGAAAAGUUUUUUUGUAUUUGCGUAAUCUUUGAGUAAUUACACCAAAGAUUACUCCUUAUGUAAUCUAAUGGUUAUGCUUUUUGAAAAAAAUGAUCCACAGUAGCUCCUUUUGAAUGAUAGGGUGACAGAGGUUUCCUGGCUUAGGGUUUGUUGCUGUCAUCGAAAGAGUCGGUGACGAUGUAGAAUUGGCUGGCUUUGCUGAGGUGGUCCCUUUGCCAAAGCCCAUUGCAAAAUCUGCUAAAUUUUCGUUGUCAAGCCCAAUUUACCUUUCAAUAGCAUAUUUUGAACCUCCAUCUUUCUCUAGGGCUUGAUAUCAAUAUUGAUUUAGAGCCCCUGGCUACUAACAAUGAAAAUUUCGUUUGGCAAUGGAGAUGAAUGAGUGGAGAAUCAUGGUUCGUUUGGCAAUGGAGAUGAAUGAGUGGAGAAUCAUGGUUGUAUUCAUGGGGAAAGACAGCCGUUGAGAGAGAGGAGGUGGAGAAAAAUCUGAAAGAAUGAGGGAGAAAAAUAAUACAAAACGUAUUUUAUGGUUUAAGGAUAGGAAGCGACCAUAAAUAGAUAUUUGGCUAUAAAAAUCAA
rnacentral:lncRNA from 1 species